GAUGAACGCUGGCGGCGUGCUUAACACAUGCAAGUCGAACGGUGAAAGCGGAGCUUGCUCUGCUGUAUCAGCGGCGAACGGGUGAGUAACACGUGAGCAAUCUGCCCCUGACUCUGGGAUACGCGCUGGAAACGGCGUCUAAUCCCGGAUACGAGCUCUCAAGGCAUCUUCAGCAGCUGGAAAGAAGUUCGGUCAGGGAUGAGCCCGUGGCCUAUCAGCUAGUUGGUGAGGUAACGGCUCACCAAGGCGUCGCCGGGUAGCCGGCCUGAGAGGGUGACCGGCCACACUGGGACUGAGACACGGCCCAGACUCCUACGUGAGGCAGCAGUGGGGAAUAUUGCACAAUGGGCGAAAGCCUGAUGCAGCAACGCCGCGUGAGGGACGACGGCCUUUGGGUUGUAAACCUCUUUUAGCAGGGAAGAAGCGAAAGUGACGGUACCUGCAGAAAAAGCACCGGCUAACUACGUGCCAGCAGCCGCAGUAA
rnacentral:rRNA from 1 species